rnacentral:lncRNA from 1 species
CGAGCAGUAUUAGCAUCAGCCCAAUCACAUCGAAAUAAGACAACUUUCCAUUUUCCAUAAUAAUCCAACUCAAUAAUGUCGGUUAGAAGUCCAUAAUACUCCACAUUUCCCUCGACAGGAUUACUGUCCCUAGCACUAGCGUAACUUGUAAUUAAAGAAUUAACAACUACUCCACAAUUUUGAGUUCUCCUCAAUCUCUCGCGAUAUUUGGUAUGAAAUCUGAAUCCAUUCAUGAUGAAGCCACUAUAUCUUUUUACUACUCGAUUCGGACCUUGGGAAAGCCAUUUAACUUCGUCAUUAACGAUAUUCCCACUCCAAACCUAUUGAAUCGAAAGUAAAUUGAGUAAUUAUAAAUGUUAUGAGAAAACAUUAUUAUUUGUCAACAAAAUGUUGAGUUGCAUACCAUUUGGCUUAACCAUU